rnacentral:rRNA from 1 species
AGAGUUUGAUCCUGGCUCAGAUUGAACGCUGGCGGCGUGCCUAACACAUGCAAGUCGAGCGGUAACAGGUGUAGCAAUACAUGCUGACGAGCGGCGGACGGGUGAGUAAUGCUUGGGAAUCUGCCUGUUAGUGGGGGACAACCCGGGGAAACUCGGGCUAAUACCGCAUACGCUCCACGGAGGAAAGCCGGGGACCGCAAGGCCUGGCACUGAAGGAUGAGCCCAAGUCGGAUUAGCUAGUUGGCGGGGUAACGGCCCACCAAGGCGACGAUCCGUAGCUGGUCUGAGAGGACGAUCAGCCACACCGGAACUGAGACACGGUCCGGACUCCUACGGGAGGCAGCAGUGGGGAAUAUUGGACAAUGGGGGAAACCCUGAUCCAGCGACGCCGCGUGGGUGAAGAAGGCCUGCGGGUUGUAAAGCCCUUUCGGUAGGGACGAAAGCUCUUGCUCUAACACGGCAGGAGGUUGACUUAACCUACAUAAGAAGCACCGGCUAACUCUGUGCCAGCCGCCGCGGUAAUAC